rnacentral:rRNA from 1 species
UACGUAGGGGGCAAGCGUUGUCCGGAUUUAUUGGGCGUAAAGAGCGUGUAGGCGGCCAGAUAGGUCAGCUGUGAAAAACUCGAGGCUCAACCUCGAGACGUCGGUUGAAACCAUCUGGCUAGAGUCCGGAAGAGGAGAGUGGAAUUCCCGGUGUAGCGGUGAAAUGCGCAGAUAUCGGGAAGAACACCCGUGGCGAAGGCGGCUCUCUGGGACGGUACUGACGCUGAGACGUGAAAAGCGUGGGGGAGCGAACAGG